rnacentral:lncRNA from 1 species
UGGGAUUACAAGGAUGAGCCACUGCUCCUGGCCAAGUGCCUCAGUUUCAUUUUAGUGCUGCUGCACCUGUGAAGCCCAUGCCGGAUUCAGCUCUACAAGAAACAUGGUGGUGAUAUGUGCUUCUGAUGAGGGCCUCAGGAAGCUUACAGUCAUGGUGGAAGAUGAAGGGGAUCCAGCAUGUCACAUGGCGGAAGAAGGAGCAAGAGAGAGUGAGAGGGAGGUUUCAGACUUUUUAAACAACCAGCUCUCACGUGAACCAACAGAGCAAAAACUCACUCAUUACCAUGGGGAUGGCACCAAACCCUUCAUGAGCGAUCUGCCCUCAUGAGCCAAACACCUGCCAGCAGGCCCCACCUCCAGCUUGGGGAUCACAUUUCUUUUUUGAGACAGAGUCUUGCUCGCCCAGGCUGGAGUGCAGUGGUGCAAUCUCGGCUCACUGCAGCCUCCGCCUCCUGGGUUCAAGCGAUUCUCCUGCCUCAGCCUCCCAAGUUGCU